rnacentral:rRNA from 1 species
GACGAACGCUGGCGGCGUGCCUAACACAUGCAAGUCGAGCGGGGAGGAGGAAGCUUGCUUCCGAAUCCUAGCGGCGGAGGGGUGAGUAACGCGUGAGCAACCUGCCUCUUACAGGGGGAUAACGCAUCGAAAGAUGUGCUAAUACCGCGUAAGACCACAGCAUCACAUGGUGCAGGGGUCAAAGGAGCAAUCCGGUAAGAGAUGGGCUCGCGUCCGAUUAGCUAGUUGGCGGGAUAACAGCCCACCAAGGCGACGAUCGGUAGCCGACCUGAGAGGGUGAUCGGCCACAUUGGAACUGAGAUACGGUCCAGACUCCUACGGGAGGCAGCAGUGGGGAAUAUUGGGCAAUGGGCGAAAGCCUGACCCAGCAACGCCGCGUGAGGGAAGAAGGGUUUCGGCUCGUAAACCUCUGUCCUAUGGGACGAAGAAGUGACGGUACCAUAGGAGGAAGCCCCGGCUAACUACGUGCCAGCAGCCGCGGUAAUACGUAGGGGGCGAGCGUUGUCCGGAAUGAUUGGGCGUAAAGGGCGCGUAGGCGGCCCGCUAAGUCUGGAGUGAAAGUCCCG